rnacentral:lncRNA from 1 species
AGAACGAAUGGAGGAGAGUCUCUGGAGCUCACAGAACCAAAAAUUUUGGAAAACGAUUGAGUUUUGAAAAAGAUCGAAGCGUUAUAUCCGGUUAUAUUUCGCUCGGCCGCAGACCUUGUACCGGUACAAGGGUUCUUGUUCCGGUACAAGGACCAAAAUGUGAACAAAAUUUUUUUUUUUUUUUUUCAAAAAUAUACUUUAAAAAUCCAUCACAUUUAAAUUAAAUUCAUAUAGUUAAGUCUUUUACUCCAAAAAUUAUUAUAAUGAAAAUAAAAUAUUGUAAAAUUUCAAACCACAUCAAAACAUCAAAAUUUCAAAAUCAAAAAUAAUUUAACGAUUCAAAACCAUCAA